rnacentral:rRNA from 1 species
AGAGUUUGAUCAUGGCUCAGGAACAACGCUGGCGGCGUGCCUAAUGCAUGCAAGUCGGACGGGAACCCCUUUUGGGGUCGACCGUGGCGGACGGGUGAGGAGCACGUGGGAAACCUGCCCCUGCGCGGGGGAUAACCGCGGGAAACCGCGGGUAAGACCCCAUGGGCUUGGUCGUCGAGGGGAUGAUCAAGCAAAAGCGCAAGCUGUGCGGGGAGGGUCCUGCGACCUAUCAGCUAGACGGUGGGGUAGUGGCCUACCGUGGCGAUGACGGGUAGCUGGUCUGAGAGGACGAUCAGCCACACGGGGACUGAGACACGGCCCCGACUCCUACGGGAGGCAGCAGCAAGGAAUUUUCCGCAAUGGGCGCAAGCCUGACGGAGCGACGCCGCGUGGAGGAUGACCCCCUUCGGGGCGUAAACUCCUUUUCUGGGGGACGAAGAACUGACGGUACCCCAGGAAGAAGCACCGGCUAACUACGUGCCAGCAGCCGCGGUAAGACGUAGGGUGCGAGCGUUGUCCGGAGUUACUGGGCGUAAAGGGCGCGUAGGCGGGUGCCCGCGUCGCACGUGAAAGCCCCCGGCUCAACCGGGGAGGGUCGUGCGAAACGGGGUGCCUGGAGGCAGUGAGAGGCUGGUGGAAUUCCCGGAGUAGUGGUGAAAUGCGUAGAGAUCGGGAGGAACACCGGUGGCGAAGGCGGCCAGCUGGCACUGACCUGACGCUGAGGCGCGAAGGCUUGGGGAGCGAACGGGAUUAGAUACCCCCGUAGUCC